rnacentral:rRNA from 1 species
UGGGGAAUUUUGGACAAUGGGGGAAACCCUGAUCCAGCCAUGCCGCGUGAGUGAAGAAGGCCUUCGGGUUGUAAAGCUCUUUCAGACGGAAAGAAAAGGUUUCGGUGAAUAUCCGGAGCCGAUGACGGUACCGUAAGAAGAAGCACCGGCUAACUACGUGCCAGCAGCCGCGGUAAUACGUAGGGUGCGAGCGUUAAUCGGAAUUACUGGGCGUAAAGCGUGCGCAGGCGGUUGCAUAAGACAGAUGUGAAAUCCCCGGGCUUAACCUGGGAACUGCGUUUGUGACUGUGCGACUGGAGUACGGCAGAGGGGGGUGGAAUUCCUGGUGUAGCAGUGAAAUGCGUAGAUAUCAGGAGGAACAUCGAUGGCGAAGGCAGCCCCCUGGGCCUGUACUGACGCUCAUGCACGAAAGCGUGGGGAGCAAACA